GCCCUCUAAAGUUACAGACCAGGAAUGUGAACUUGAGUUUUCUGUUCUUUGUCCCCUACCACACUGUUGUUGUAUAAAAUGCUAUAUUAAAAUGAGAAUCAGCAGAUGAACACAGAUCCUUUCUCUGGCUUCAUCUCAGAAGUAGAGUCCAGAUCAUUAACCCCAGUUAUACUUCCAAGAAAAGAUAUUUGACAUCAUGGAAGGACCUUCACAAGGUAAGCCAGGUCUCGAAAUGGAACCCCAUAAGCUGGCAAGUCCAUCAUUCCUUUUCUUUCCACUCCCUAGCUGUUUGCAUUCACACCUGUCUGACAAACUAGUAUGUAAAGUCUUUGGGAUGUAAAGGUCAGGUUCCAUUUUUCCUUCUAUUCAUACUGCACAAAAUUUAGUAUACUACACUUUGUUUUUAUUAAGUUUAAAAUGCUAAAAGUUACAAAUAAAUAGCCUUUUAAGUGAACUGGAAUUAGCUUCUACUUUACAAAUGAGGAUAGCCUAAAGGAAGAAAAGCAGUUUGCCCCGACUUUCCGGCCCCUCACACUGCAAGCCAAUGUUCUUUCCAACUUUCACUCUGUUUCUUAGAGGUAAAAAGAAUAAAAGAAUGAAUCAGGAUUAAUAAAAACAAUGACUCAGAAAACAAAACUGGCAGGACUGUUAUUUUAUGCAAACCCUUCAGAACUGGGCAGUGGGACAGGAAUCCUUUCAUUGUGAUAACAGUAGAGGAAAGAGUAGGAGAAAAAAAGAUGGGCUGAACCUGAUGGUGCAUACCUUUAAACCCAGCGCUCAGAAGAUUGAGGCAGGAGGAUCAAAAGUUCAAGAUAAGCCCAGGAAGCUGAGCGCCGGUGGCUCACAUCUAUAAUCCUAGCUACUCAGGAGGCUGAGAUCUGAGGACCAAAGUUCAAAGCCAGCCCAGGCAGAACAGUCUG